UACGUAGGGUGCGAGCGUUAAUCGGAAUUACUGGGCGUAAAGCGUGCGCAGGCGGUUUUGCAAGCCGGAUGUGAAAUCCCCGGGCUCAACCUGGGAAUGGCAUUCGGGACUGCAAGGCUGGAGUGCGGCAGAGGGGGGUGGAAUUCCUGGUGUAGCGGUGAAAUGCGCAGAUAUCAGGAGGAACACCAAUUGCGAAGGCAGCUCGCCGGGACGUUACUGACGCUGAGACGCGAAAGCGUGGGGAGCAAACAGG
rnacentral:rRNA from 1 species